rnacentral:rRNA from 1 species
CCCUUGCACACACCGCCCGUCAAGCCAUGGAAGCUGGGUGUACCUGAAGUCGGCAACCGCAAGGAGCUGCCUAGGGUAAAAUCAGUGACUGGGGCU